GUGAGGAAUAUUGGUCAAUGGGCGGAAGCCUGAACCAGCCAUCCCGCGUGGAGGAAGACGGCCCUAUGGGUUGUAAACUUCUUUUCAAGGGGAAGAAAGUUCGCGACGUGUCGCGAUUUGCCGGUACCUUUGGAAUAAGCAUCGGCUAACUCCGUGCCAGCAGCCGCGGUAAUACGGAGGAUGCGAGCGUUAUCCGGAUUUAUUGGGUUUAAAGGGUGCGUAGGCCGAUCGAUAAGUCAGCGGUGAAAUACCAUGGCCCAACCAUGGAACUGCCGUUGAUACUGUCGGUCUUGAAUAUGGUCAAGGUAGGCGGAAUGUGUAAUGUAGCGGUGAAAUGCUUAGAUAUUACACAGAACACCGAUUGCGAAGGCAGCUUACUGGGCCAUUACUGACGCUGAUGCACGAAAGCGUGGGGAUCGAACAGGAUUAGAUACCCGUGUAGUCC
rnacentral:rRNA from 1 species